AGAGCAGCGAAGGAGAGGAGUAAUGUUCCAUGGCCGCUACGUGGAACGUGUAAUCUGUUUGAGAAACUCACUGCAGCUGUUCAUCUGCUUUGGGGAAGAAAAAAGAAAAAGUCUCCACUGAGAAAAGAGACUCACUUUUCAGGGGGGUGCAGACAGGAUAAACUGACGGCAGUUGUCGUACAAAGGAGACAAAACCUCAUUCCUGCAUUUUCUAGAAAACAACUGGCAGGAACACCGCAAACCUUUCAGUCCACAUCUGCCCGCAUUGAACUAAAGAUACAAAAGUCUACGUCACCAUGACAACGGCUACCUGUUAACAUAAUGAUGCCAUUCUUGGUUCUUUGUAAAACGAAUGCAUCCUUGGAAUGAGUCGCUCCCUGAUGAACUGCAAUCUUCCAUUAAAGGGGUGAGGAUGCAGAACGAGGAGUACAUCUGAUAAUUGGCCUGUCAGCCUCUGCAUUCGUGCUUCACUCCAGACUGUGUCCAGCAUGUACUCUGGAGACUGCACUAUGUUAGAGACGCAAGAUGGAGACCGCCGCCUGCAUUCAAACCCUUUGACUGUACACAUUAGUAUUAUUCGUAUUAUUUAGACAAUUUCACCAAGAAAGUUCUUCAUACCGUAUUUUCCGCACUAUAAGGCACACCUAAAAACCUCCAAUCUUCUCAAAAGCCGACAGUACGCCUUAUAAUCCAGUGCGCCUUAUAUAUGGACUAAUAUUGAGCCACUACGGCAGGCGUGUCCAAACAUAUGGAUUUAUAUAUGAACAAAGUUUUAGAUUGGGCCAUUCAUUGAAGGUGCGCCUUAUAAUCUGGUGCGCCUUAAAUAUGGACAAAGUUUUAAAAUGGGCCAUUCAUUGAAGGUGCGCUUUAUAAUCCAGUGCGCCUUAUAGUGCGAAAAAUACGGUACUUCUAAUUCUCCCACUUACAUCAUCCAUCCAUCCAUCCAUCCAUCCAUCCAUCCAUCCAUCCAUCCAUCCAUCCAUCUCUUUAUAUGAAUCAUGAACGUAAUGUGAAGGUACAUAGCAUCACAAACCCGGCGUCACAAAUAUGACAAAAAUAUUAAAGUCACGACAAAAAGGCAGAACACGGGGACGGGAGGAAACUGUGCACUUUCAUAACAUCUGAAUCCGUGUCUAACUUUCAUCAUGUCUCUUGUUAUCGCUGCGGUUUGUCUUUGAUUUGGUUCAAUGUGUGUGUUAUUGUGUGGAGGAAACAAGCAGAAGAAAGAAGCUCGGGAAAAAUACCACCAUUGUGACAGAGACUCUAUUAGUGCCGUUGUUUGGCAGCUGGCAGCGAGGAUCAAAUUCGACAUCUUUGACAUUUGCAAUCUGCCCCUGACACCACGCAAUGCCUUGUAAGAAGCCGUCACAACUAGCUCGCCUGUUGUCAUUUUCCUCCGCUUCGUGUCAUCUGCUUGUGUUAUGGUGAAUUGUUUAUACCGCCCGAGGAGUAUCGGUAACACGAUGACAUUUUUGCAAAACAAGGGACAUUUAACGGCGAGCCCGCUUGCAAAAUACUGUGCUCGUCUCGACGCGGGAACAGAGACUUUUAAGCAGUUGCACUUAAUAAAUCCCAAAGCAGCCUUCAGAAAGCCUUUUUUUUUUUUUUUAAUCACCCAAUGUAGA